CCAUGGAGACCGUGUCGCCAGAACUCACGGCAUCCUCGUUUUCAGGCUGAAGGAAGUGAGAGGAGAGAGAAGGCAGAAACUGAUGUGAAGAAUAACUGAGGACACCGACAGCGAGAGGAGGGUCCAGCUGCAGCUGCUCUGGUAUCGGUACUGGUACCAUUCAGACAGCGAGAACAGCUGAUCAACAUGUGAGAGAAAAAGCUGCAUGUUGUGAGCAGGCUCACCUCCUCGUCUUUGUACCAGGACAGCGACUCAGCAGUCAGGACAAACCAGUAAUCCU